AUGAAAUUCCUGUGGAAAGCCUUCUCCUUUGCCAGUCGAAGCAUGGGUCUGCCUCUGCCCAGGUGGUUGGUGCUUGUAAGGAGUCAGAAACAUGAGACCAGGCACAAGCUACUGCAGGUCUGCCGAAACACAGGAAUCACAGAAGUGCCCGUUUGUAUCAACAAACACAAGGUAAUUGACUAAUUUUAGCAGGCAGUGAAUCAUGUUGUUUUACUAAAGGCUAAGAUUUUAUUGGUUUUGCGGCUUAGCUGAUAAACUCUUACUGUUGUGUUUGGGCCUUUAUUAAUCUCUUUCCAGUUAUACUGGAUUGCUUAUCACAAGAUCACUCUUUGAAAGAUAAUCUCCCCAAGCUUCUAACCGCAAGGCAACAAAUAACUCCUACCUCACCCCAAACUCAUCAUCAGAAACAAUCAUCCCACAAAGCUGAUGUAUCACUAGUGGAACCAAACUGUGCUAGUAGAACAACAAAUGCAAAACUAAUGCACCCAUUUCUACUUCCUCCACAGUAAGUGCUCCCUUCUUUGUUCAGAGGCAUCACUUGUCUUUCAUUUCUCACCAUGCAGUCCUAUCCACAUUCCUCUGGCUAUAUUCCCCAUCUAAUCUGCUUGAUCCUAUUACUCUUUGCUGUGAUAUUAUCAAAUAGGUUAACUUAACUGGGAGAAAUCUCAGCGAGAUUGUUGCCAAAAGGCAGUUGGCCUAAGUCUGCUACUUCUGUUUUGGAUCUGUAGAAAGAUUUGUGUCCUGAAAACUUAUCUGCUUUUCUUGAGAGCAGCACUUACUCUAUUAAAAGAUCUCGUCUCUCUGCACUACCUUUCCUUCCUAGCAGAGUUGACAUCUUCCUUACUUUGCUGGCUUUGGAUUAAGAAAAAUAAGAAAAAUAGUUGCAGAAUUAUUCUUAGCCUGGAUCAGUUAAGUGAUCCAGUUUACACAACAGCGAUCCAGCGCCAAAACAGUUCUAUGGGUACAACUGAGGGGACAUGAACUGCAGUGCAGGACAGCAAUUGGUAACUGGGAGAAGACAGCUGCUCCAUUGCUCCAUUUCAUUUAGCUACACCUCCCAAUAGUAACUCAGUAGCUUUGUUCCAUGCCUAGCUCCUUUAAAUAUGCAUGCUUUAAUUUUAUAGUCAUAUAUAGUUUUACAUGUUUGUAAAUGACAAUGUACACAUUCUUUUGCCUAAGGAGACAUGAUUAUUGUCAUGUACUCAAGACUUUUUUCCAUAAAUAGGAAAAAAAGAAUUUUUUUUUAGUUUAUUUAGUAUUAUCCACUAAGUCAGAAAGUUAGCAACUAGCCCAAUUCUAUAAACACAAUGUAUGCAAGUAUAGAACUGCAAGGUGCACAUGUAAGAUAAGUGGGUGGUUUAAUCUUUCUCAUUGCAAUAUUCUCAAUCCCUUCAUGGAGCUCAUGUUUUUUUUUUUGUUUUGUUUGUUUGUUUUUGUUUUGUAUUGUUUUUUAAUGUUAUGAACGUGAGUUCAUGCUGACACAGUAGCUUUUCUAAUUGAUUUAACACCAUUGUGUUUGUUGACAUCAGUUCUUUUGAUAAUGAUUUUCUGUGCAAUCAUUAUGAAAAAUAAAGAAAAGGACUCUGGAGAAUAUUAUAAUCCC
ensembl:lncRNA